GACGAACGCUGGCGGCGUGCUUAACACAUGCAAGUCGAACGGAAAGGCCCUGCUUUUGUGGGGUGCUCGAGUGGCGAACGGGUGAGUAACACGUGAGUAACCUGCCCUUGACUUUGGGAUAACUUCAGGAAACUGGGGCUAAUACCGGAUAGGAGCUCCUGCUGCAUGGUGGGGGUUGGAAAGUUUCGGCGGUUGGGGAUGGACUCGCGGCUUAUCAGCUUGUUGGUGGGGUAGUGGCUUACCAAGGCUUUGACGGGUAGCCGGCCUGAGAGGGUGACCGGCCACAUUGGGACUGAGAUACGGCCCAGACUCCUAAGGGAGGCAGCAGUGGGGAAUAUUGCACAAUGGGCGGAAGACUGAUGCAGCAACGCCGCGUGCGGGAUGACGGCCUUCGGGUUGUAAACCGCUUUCGCCUGUGACGAAGCGUGAGUGACGGUAAUGGGUAAAGAAGCACCGGCUAACUACGUG
rnacentral:rRNA from 1 species